rnacentral:misc_RNA from 1 species
ACGAGUUAGGGCCUCUGGCCCCGAACCUCCAACCCUUUGUAUCAAAACCUCGUUGCCUCGGGGAGGCCCUGCCUCACGGCUGGCCCCCCGAUGGACCACUAAACUCUGCAUCUGUAUGACGUCUGAGUAAAGAUUUAAAAUUAAAUCAA